rnacentral:rRNA from 1 species
UACGGAGGAUGCGAGCGUUAUCCGGAUUUAUUGGGUUUAAAGGGUGCGUAGGCGGUUUUUUAAGUCAGUGGUGAAAGUUUGAGGCUCAACCUUAAAAUUGCCAUUGAAACUGGGAAACUUGAGUAUAAAUGAAGUGGGCGGAAUUUGUGGUGUAGCGGUGAAAUGCAUAGAUAUCACGAGGAACUCCAAUUGCGUAGGCAGCUCACUAAGCUAUAACUGACGCUGAGGCACGAAAGCGUGGGUAUCCAACAGG